AAGCUCUUCCUGCCUGGAAUAUUUGAACACAUUGUUCCUUCUGCCUGGGAGAUCCCUCCUCCCACUCUACAUAUGGCUGUCCCUUUCCCAUCCUCUGGGGUCUUACCUUAAAAAGCCUCUUUCCCUGAGAGAGUUCCCAUCCCCAGCCACUGUUCUUUCAGCCCUUGGUGUGUUUCCUAAAACUUUUAACACUAUUUAAAAUCUUUCUGCCUUUUUAUUUGUUUUAUUUCUGUCUCUCUUACUGAAAUUCAAGCUUCGUGUGAGCAGGGACUGGGUCUGUCUUGUUCUCUGCAUCCUCAGCACUUAGCACCGGGCCAAGCACACGGCAAGGAUUUAUUGGAUAAAUGAACGAGGACAGAAGGACCUAGUCUCCCAGCUGCUGCUGGCUGGCAGUCCCAGCUGCCAGGCCUCAGCUGAAAAGAGCUCCUUUGGCUGAGGUCACACACGUUUCCCGGGGGCAGCUUGAAUGACUGGUUGAUAUAUGGAGAUGUUGAUCCCGCAAGCAUGCCCUGAUCAACUUCCUGCACGUCCCUCUCCAUCUCCGGAUCAACCACCUGGAAACACAACCUGUGACAGCAGCCUGUGUUCAGCUUUCAUGGAUAUUAUCAAGCAGGUUUCUAAGGUGGUCGCCCUGAUGUAUAUUCCCACCAGUAGUGUGAAAUAGUUUCAGUUGCUCAACACUCUUGCCAACACUAGGUAUUGUCUGUCUUUUUUUUAAAGCCACUCAGGUAAGUGGGUAGUGGUAACUCUUGUGGUUUUAACUUGCAUUUCUCUUAUGACUAAAGAAGUUGAGUACCUUGUUACAUGUUUAUUGGAUCAUUUGGACAUCCUUUCUCGUGAAUUGCCUGGUUAAGUCUUGUUAUCCACUUUUCUACUGGUUUGGGUGCCUUUUACUUAUGGAUCUGCAGGUGUUCUUUUUAUAUUUUAUGCAAGUCUUUUAGUAGGUAUAUUGCAACAUGUAUUCGGAGUUGGAUAUACUGGGAAUACCUCAACAGUACCAGCAUAUGGUGAGUCCUCAUAAAAAUGAGUUACAUGAAUGCUUGAGUCUGAAAACUCCUUUAAGGAAAGACUGCUUGGAUAGGUGAAACCGUGUAUGGUUUUAAUGAGUAUAAUUGGGUAUAGGUAUAGGUCCAAAGGAGGGGGAAACAGAACCUUAAAGAGAAAGGCACAGAAUACAGGUAACACAUCCUCAAACUUCGCCACUCUUGGCCAGCAGUUUUCGGCCACAGGCAUUCAAAUAGUCAACUUCUUAAAGAUAAUUGUAAAUUAAUAUUCAUUAAUUCAAAAAUGUCCAUAGACGAUAUCAAUGGGUCAGCCUGUUCCAGGAGCUGAGGAGCUAGCCGUGAAAAAGACAAAAUCCUUGCUUUCAGGAGAUCCAGAGAGAUGACAACAAGUAAACAAAAUAAAAUAAUUUCAGGUAGCGAGACCUAACUGAAGGAGUCGGGCUUGCAGGGAAGGGCGACGGCGGGUUGGAUCCAGCGAUUCCCAGAGCAGGGCGCAGGGAGGGUCCC